GGGCCGGUAGCUCAGCUUGGUUGGAGCACACGGCUGAUAACCGUGCGGUCGAGAGUUCAAAUCUCUCCCGGCCCACCA
rnacentral:tRNA from 1 species